rnacentral:lncRNA from 1 species
CUUUGCUAUCACGGACCAGGAGACCAUUUUGGAGCCACGGGUGGACCUAAGACAGUGGCCCGAGCCCAUGGACAGAAAGGAGACUCAAGUCUGCCUGCUGCCCAUCGGCUCUUCAACUCCCAGCUGAGUUAAUAGGUAACCCAGCAGCCUCGCCCACACACGCCUCCUCUUGCGCAGGGCAGCUGGGACAGCUGGAAUUGGAGACACUUGAGAGCCACGGGGACAUGGAGAGGAACUGGGGUAGAUGGCCAGGCCAUGCCCCUUCUAGUUGGGACUGGACCAGUAAAAAUGGCACACCAAUGAGGCCACUUUGCAGAUGGGCGGGUGGGGAGCUGAAAGUGCAAUCCACGGUGCCAACAAGCCUCUGGAAAAAAGCAGGGUGGGAGAGAGCAGGCUGGAAAGUGGAGCUCAGUUGUCUAUGUCUGUCCGUCUGUCCGUCUGCCUAUCUGCUAGAGCCAGAACUUUGGGGUCACAGGCCAGGGCCUGGCAACAGUGAGGCACUCUACAAACAGCAUGAGGUGUGACAAAGUCUGCUGCCGAGCUCUAUAAACAGCACUGAGCGCUGAAACAAGCGCCAGGUUCUGUCAAAAAUGAAGGGGUCAGCAAAAUGCACCAGGCUGUGCAACCAGCCCUGACUGCCGAAACCCUCCAGCCCCAGCUCCAGCCCCUCAGGAGGGGACUGCGUGGGAGGAAUGACUCCAGCAAGCCGGCAGCUGACCCGUCUCCUGCCUGCACGCCUCCCGCUGUGGUCCACUGCCGGUGGUCUUCAGCUCUCUCCUCGUCCCACCCCCAUGGUCUGCUGACAGCCCAGCUCAGUGCAUCCCUGCCAUCUCUGCUCUACCGCUGGUCCUCCCAACAACCAACUUACAGGUUUGGGGGCACACGUGAAGGUUUGACAUAUAGUAAACACAUGUCAUGGUGGUUUGUUGUACAGAUUAUUACAUCACCCAGGUACUAAGCCCAGUACCCAAUAGUUGUCUUUUCUGCUCCUCUCCCUCCUCCCGCCCUCAAGAAGACCCCCGUGUCUGCACUUUCCUUCUUUGUGUUCGUAAGUUCUUAUCAUUUAGCUCCCAAUGCUUUCCAUUCUUUUAGAUAUAUGUGCCCUUGGCAUUUUUGCCCUUUUGGGCCCCUUCUUCCAGCAAAUAAUAAUAAUAGUAAUAAUUAAUUCUAUUUUACAACUAUUGGUAUAAAGACAAAUAUAUUAAUUUUUUUUUUUUUUCCGAGACAGGGUUUCACUCCCGUCACCCAGACUGGAGUACAAUGGUGCGAUCUCAGCUCACUGCAACCUCUGCCUCCUGGGCUUAAGCGAUUCUCCUGCCUUGGCCUCCCAAGUAGCUGGGAUUACAGGUGCCUGCCACCACUCCUGGCUAAUUUUUGUAUUUUUUGUAAAGGCGGAGUUUCUCCAUGUUGCCCAGGCUAGUCUCAAACUCCUGAGCUCAAGCAAUCCACCCGCCUCGGCCUCCCAAAUAAGUGGAAUUAUAGGUGUGAGCCACCACGCCGGCCCUGAUGUAUCAAUAUUAAAACAUUUUCUUCAGCCUACAAGUUCUUCUUUUUCUUAUUUGGAUGCAAACUAAAACAUUUUGUGGGCCCUUAGAUUGAACAUUCUCAUGGGUCCUGUGCCUCCUGUGCGUCAUGGAGAAGGCAGCCCUGCAUGGCUCUCACAUCCUCUUCCCCCACGCAAAUG